UGUGAAUAUGGGACUCUGCGUGCGUGAUGGAGUGCCAGGCAGAUUCAUGGAAGAAAUUGGGUGGCUGUGUUUUGAUUGUGCACGCCGGACAUGAGCUUGUGAGUUAGUUCAUUCUUGGUCCCGUGCUCCUUCUGUUGGGUAAAACUUGGAUCUGAACCGAGGAGGCCCAAAGCUCCAACCAGGGCAGAACACUGGGUGGCAACCACCACGGAAGCCCUGCAGCAGCCCCUGCAGUCAACUGUCUCUCCUUUCCCGGUUGUGGGCACAGCACAUGAGGAACAGGCCGUUCCCUGCUCCUGGGCUGCGUGUUGCGACCUAGGCCCGUGCACAGGAGACCCUGAAGAAGCUGCACCCGAGCGCAAUGAAGACGAGGGUAAGCGCGCCAUGUGGACGCCUUUGCAUCAGGAUGCCAGGAAUUCGCCCACUCUCGGUGGAGGCCACAAGGCCGGCCUCGCUAGGCCCCCUCUCUGCUGCCCAACCCUCGCCUGCCUUCCUUCGAGGGGGCUACCGAGUCUCCCGCGCCAGGGUGGACACCUCCACUCCCCCUUGCCCCCGGGGACGCACCGAGCGCCUGCACCCUCCUCGGCUCGCCCCCUCCCGGCCUUUGUGUGGUGCGGGACCCCGGCCCGCCGCCCCUGUGAACCGCCUGCCCCGCGCGGAGGCGGGGGCACUUUUCAAUGCCUCGCCGCAGCUCCCUCCAGAUUUGUAAUCCGCCAAAAAGCCGCUGAUUGCUGCAAUCGUUACUUUUCAUUAAAAAAACUUAGAAGCAAUUUGGGAGAACUCUUCUCAAUGAAUACAUUUACCCCCGAACGGUCUUUAUUCUCCGCCUCCACUUGAUGAGUU
rnacentral:lncRNA from 1 species